rnacentral:rRNA from 1 species
UGACCCCUGGUGCCGCAGCUAACGCAUUAAGUGCCCCGCCUGGGGAGUACGGUCGCAAGAUUAAACUCAAAGGAUUGACGGGGGCCCGCACAAGCGGUGGAGCAUGUGGUUCAAUUCGACGCAACGCGAAGAACCUUACCUGGGCUAGACAACGGUGGACCGUCCUAGAAAUAGGAUUUUCCCUUCGGGGACUGCCGGUUCAGGUGCUGCAUGGCUGUCGUCAGCUCGUGCCGUGAGGUGUUGGGUUAAGUCCCGCAACGAGCGCAACCCUCGUCCUUAGUUGCCACCAUUCAGUUGGGCAUUCUAAGGAGACUGCCGGCGUUAAGCCGGAGGAAGGUGGGGACGACGUCAAGUCAUCAUGGCCCUUAUGUCCAGGGCCACACACGUGCUACAAUGGGCGGUACAAAGGGUCGCGAACCCGCGAGGGGGAGCCAAUCCCAAAAAGCCGCUCUCAGUUCGGAUUGGAGUCUGCAACUCGACUCCAUGAAGUUGGAAUCGCUAGUAAUCGCGGAUCAGCACGCCGCGGUGAAUACGUUCCCGGGCCUUGUACACACCGCCCGUCACACCAUGGAAGCCAGCUGUACCGGAAGUCGGUGCAUCAACCCGCAAGGGAGAUAGCCGCCUAUGGUAUGACUGGUGACUGGGGUGAAGUCGUAACAAGGUAACCGUAAAGGGCGAAUU